rnacentral:rRNA from 1 species
GGAGUUAGCCGGUGCUUCUUCUGUGAGUGAUGUCCUUCCUGCCGGUUAUUGACCCGCAGGCCUUCUUCCUCACUGAAAGUGCUUUACAACCCGAAGGCCUUCUUCACACACGCGGCAUGGCUGGAUCAGGGUUGCCCCCAUUGUCCAAUAUUCCCCACUGCUGCCUCCCGUAGGAGUCUGGGCCGUGUCUCAGUCCCAGUGUGGCUGAUCAUCCCUCUCAGACCAGCUACGGAUCGUCGCCUUGGUGAGCCGUUACCUCACCAACCAGCUAAUCCGACAUAGGCUCAUCCGGAUAGCGCGAGGCCCGAAGGUCCCCCGCUUUCCCCCGUAGGGCGUAUGCGGUAUUAGCCUGGGUUUUCCCCCAGGUUAUCCCCCGACUACCGGGCAGAUUCCUAUGCAUUACUCACCCGUCCGCCGCUCGCCACCAGGGAGCAAGCUCCCCGUGCUGCCGCUCGACUUGCAUGUGUUAGGCCUGCCGCCAGCGUUCAAUCUGAGCCANGANACAACUCUGA